AAAAUCUAAUGGUUCCUUGUGUACAAGUAGUCAGCACACCGGUUGAUAUGGUCAUAUCAGUCAGUGCCUGAACUUAUGCUCUAACCAAUACGCAGGCCUUUGCCGUCUCUCGUCUCGAGCUUCUCGCUCACAACCAAUCACGUUCUUCUGGAGGUCACUAGUUCUUAAUUGAUUUCAGCUGCGUCUCCCCCGCCUCUCCUCAUAAAGCGCCCCCACCGUGACGGAUUUUAAUCGUUUAUUUUGUGUUGGAUUGCGUGGGCUGAACAAUCCGGACAUCGUGGCCACCGACGUUGACCCCCCGCCACCGGGACCCACGCACACCGACCACCACACUGGGAAGUGUCCUCUGCUCACUGUGGAAGCAGCAUGGAAGAACUGCAGCAACUCUGAUGGAAACGAGGACCUCCACGCUGUUGAACACAAACUGUUCUAGGCCUACUACAAACCGAGGCGGUCCCACUCGGUUAAAGAUCUCGUGGUCAAUGCGGCAGACCGCUGGACCUGGACGUCACCUUCUGCAGAUACUUCACUGCCCUCAAGAAUCCACGGAUAACUUGAAACAUGUCCGACUCCACAUGUCCGAAAAAAAUCCAGGAUGGAAACUUGUGGAAGGAAGGAAGGGUUCUGUUUUUGCUCAACCCAUAACCCCACUGAGCCCUUCUGUGGAAACCUGUCUGACUGACCCUACUGACUGGGGGCCUGUUGUGUAUUUGGUUGGUCUGGUAGAAGGUUUGCUGCUUGUGAUCUGCAAGGUGGUCCUGGGUUAGAUGCGGUGUCUGACUUGCACACCACUCUCCCAAUUCUAUUUUUCUCUUUACUACUUUUCUACUUUCAAUACUUGCUGCUGUUGACCGCUGGUGGUGCAAUGUGGUUUUUAUUCGCGUAUGUUCUGUGGACUUUGCAUUUGUAUUUUAAUGAACAUGUUUACUGCCUGUUAGACCUCGGAUUGGCAAACCUAAACUCCUUCACUGGCAAAAUGUAGAUGCAAAUUAAAUGCCGAAAUUAAAAUUUCAAUAUUCGUUUUGCGUAUUUCACCAAUGGCUUCGGAACUAGACGGACCUCGUAUAUAAUUUGCUCUUCAAAGAUGCGGUCAGGCGCCCCUCCGUUAUAUAACGUUUUCUGCCCGGUACGAAAUAGACCAACCAAUAGCAACCCUUUAGGCUAUCUAAUGUGAUGUUGGAUAUAUGCAACAUGUAGAGGUGUUUCAACAACAAAGAUGGAAGUUGGGGAACUAAAGACUGUAUAUGCUCACUAAAAGAACGUCUACUAAAAGAUUUUGAGGAAUAUGCAUUUCUGCAUCACCCGUUCCAAUGCUAUGAUUAGUCGAGGCCUAUCCAAUAGCUUAGCAUCGACCCAUUUUAGAUCGCGCCCUUUAGACACGCCCCUUGGAAAUUGAACCGCACUUCAACGCAGAGGAUCCAGAAGGAUUUCACAACGAGUCCAUUGGAAGAUAUCGAGGAACAUGAACAUCAUCACCAAUGAAGGAGAGUAACGUUUCCACUUGCUAUAGGAAUUUAGUGAAGCACUAAAUAGUUAAUAAUAAUAAUGAUAAAAUGUGGUCACCAUUUAUUGACUUUUUGGGUAAGACUUGCUUUACUAAUAUAACCGCUUUAAAACCGCAUUCAUUUACUUUUCUUGUGUAGUUUCCCACUAUUCAUUAAAUGUUUUAUAGAAGUAAAAAAGUAAUCAAUAGAACUAUACACAUUUGUACAACAAUUAAUCAUUAUAGAGGAUUUGAACAUUUUCUAUUCGAGCUCAUGCUUCAUAAUAUUUCCAAGGAUUGCAGAGUACCAAAUGAUUUAUGAACAGUUGUCUUUGUUCAGGAGCGGAUUGUACUCCCAGAGGCUUCAACAGAGCGGGUCUUGAGCUGGGAGCUGCAGGUGGAUGGUGGCCAGGAGCCUUUCAGUCCUACAGGAACAGACGGUAGAGGUGAUGGAGGCGGUCGUCUGGAGGUGCUCGCCAUGAGGUCCAUGGCGGUCGUCUGGAGGUCCGUGGCGGUCGUCUGGAGGUCCGUGGCGGUCGUCUGGAGGUCGUCUGGAGGUCCGUGGCGGUCGUCUGGAGGUCCGUGGCGGUCGUCUGGAGGCGCCUGCUGCAGGUGGAGGGAAGGCCGGAGCCGUGCAGCCCAACGGAUGCAGAACGAAGGACUGAGGCGGAGGUCCUGGAGGCGGAGGUCCUGGAGGCGGAGGUCCUGGAGGCGGCGGUGGCCUGGAGGUCCUGGAAGCGUCCAACCUGGAAGGGGCGGCAUGGUGGGCCAGGUGGCGGCUCCUCAUCCAAAGGGCCUGGAGGCAGCCAACCUGGAAGGCCUGGAGACGGCGGCGGGCCUGGAGGUGGACGCCAACCUGGAGGUCCUGGAGUCGGUGGGCCUGGAGGCGGUGGUUGGGACCAACCUGGAGGGCCUGGAGGCGGUGGUUGGGACCAACCUGGAGGUCCUGGCGGUGGCGUCCACCUGGCGGCGGUCAGCCUGGAGGGCCCGGCGGCGGCGACCGUCCUGGAGGGCCCGGCGGCGG
ensembl:lncRNA